CUGCUCUCUCUGUUACAAAGCAUUAAGUCCUGCCCCUUAGAAAGGAGCUUGAAUCCAGAGCUGAGGAGAAGAUCAAUCCGCGUUAGUUGUCAAGUUCGUUUAGUGCUACUGCAAUGGCUCCUAAUACUGAAGAAGGAAUCACCUACAUGAAUUUGAACAAUAUCCAGAUGCUUACUGGAUCAAACUUUAAGGCCUGGAAGAGUGGUGUAGAGUUCUACCUAAUGAUGCAUGACAACAUGGAUUUGUGUUUUACUGAUAUAGAGCCUUUUGGAGUAGAUGCAACUAGCUCAUCUGAUGACAAGAAAUAUUAUCGAGACUGGCAUAGAUCCAAUUAUAGGGCUAAGAAUGUAAUGAGAACUACCAUGUCUGAUACUGUGAGGGGUAGUAUUGAAGAGCCUGUUUUGGCAGUUGAUUAUAUGGAAGAAUAGCUGAAAAGUUCAAGGAAAGCAAUAAGGCUGAGGCAGCUAGACUUUCCAAGGAGAUGAAUGAGUUGAAGUAAACUGGUAGUGGAGGUGUUAGGCAGCAUAUCUUGAAGCUCACUGAGCUAAACACUAGGCUCAGGGAUUUAGAUCUGGGAGUCAAGGAUGACCAACUUGUCCACAAUGCCUUAGAUUCUCUACCACCUAGCUUUAAUACCUUGAGAACUAGCUACAAUGCACAGAAGGAGAGCUGGACCUUGAAUGAGCUGAUAUCUAUUUGCGUGGAUGAGGAGAGUAGAAUGAAGAAAGAGAAGCAGCCCUCCACCUCUGUCAAUUUAGUUGAAAAGCCAAAGAAACAGAACAAAUUCAAGCCUAAGAAAACUAUAGCUAAGCCAUCAGGAAAUACUGCAGCAGCUAAAGUCAACAAGCCAUUUAAGUUCAAGUGCUAUUUUUGUAAGAAAGUAGGACACAUGAAGAAGGACUGUACAAGAUUUAAGGCAUGGCUUGUGAAAAAGGGGAUUCAUAGGGAUGAGGAAG